GGAGCUCAGAAAUCAGACUACCUGACUUUCUAUCCUGGAUUACAAAAAUGACCCCAUUUUCUCUCCCCAUCUGUUCCCAAUCCCUUGGAAUGUGACCUGGCAGCUCAUUCCAUCAAUUAGUCGAGUCUGUUUCCUCACACUUUGAAUCUGAGCUGGCUUGUGAUCUGCUUUGGCCAAUAGAAUGCAGUGAAAAAAGUGGUGUGCCAGUUGCAAACCUGAAUCUCAAGAAGCCCUGCGUGCUGCCACUCAUUCCCUUGGAAGCCCGCCGCAUUACUGCGUGACUGAGCCUGGGCUAGCCUGCUGGAGGUUGAGCACACAUGGGGUCCAGUUGCCCCAAUGCCCCAGCCAACAGCCGGCCCACCCCCAGCAGCACAGCCACCUUGCUGUACAGGAGUAAGUCUGCUCAAGACCAAAUGAACCACCCAGCUGAGCUCAGCCCACAUUGCUUUAUUUUAUGGGUCACCCAUCAAGCUGUAAGCUAAAGAAGUGGCAAUUGUUUUAAGCUGCUAAGUGUUGAGACAGUUUGUUACAAAGCAAAAACUACCUGGCAAACCUUAGGCAAGUUACUUAACCUCUCUGUACCUGUUUCCUCACCUAUCAGAUAAAGAUAGUAACAGUACCUCCAGGGUGGUUGUGAAGAAUAAACGAGAAGAUAUUUGUAAAGCACUUGGACAGGUCCUAGAUCAUGAAAAGCUCUCCUUAAACCUGAGCUACUGCCUCCUUUUCACCAAAGGGCAGGAGGAGGCAAGGAAGUGAGUGGUUGAUAAAUGAAUGAAUGCGUGCAUGGGUGGAUGGACAAAAGGACCAGCAGAUAGAGCAGCAGAUGGGUUGCAGUAGCAGUGCCCACUCUCCUGAUGGACAUUCCUGGAGGUCCUGCCCUAGCCCUCCCUUCCAUCUUUCUUCUGACUUACCUUGCACAGGGUCGCACUGGGAUCAUGGUCUUCAGGCUGGGGUCAUAUCUGUCUGCAAAGGAUCUCCGCCGGCCUCGCUGGUCCAGAUCUGAGAUAAGAAAGCCCUUCAGAAUUUUCUCUACCCAAGGCACCCCCCACUCAGAGAAGCCUCCUGCUGACCUCUCUGCGUUUACUUCCGGAGACAAAGGGAAGCUAUCCACUGCAGAGAUGCUGGGGCUGAAGAGCUUAAAAAUUGGCCUCUCAUUCUUGCAUAGUCCUUGGCUCCCUGCAUCAACAGAACCCAGCCCUGGUCUGGAUCAGAAGCAAGAAAAGAAACCUGAACCCAAGUGCAGCCUUUGGGCACGGUCUUUCUACCGCAUGCUCCCUCACUCUGCAACUCACCGGGCAGAGUGGACAGUCAAGCCGUGGUCCCUGAUCAACCACCCAUGACCUCCCAAUGGCCGCUGGGGCACUGCCCUGCCCUUGGUAACCUGAGCAAAGCAGCGGUAGGAAAGCAGAUUCGCUGAUGAAGAAGAAAGAGCUCACGGCAAGUUCUGAAACCCAGCUGAAAUUAUUUGGGGGAGAAUCACAGAAUCCAAGACAUGGCAAACUAGCCUCUCAUGGAGAAUUUCCCUCUGGCCCACCAGAUCGGGCCUCAACACGCUUUGGUGACAGACCCCAGUCACUUCUUCUCAAGACAGCCCGCAUAUAGUAUUCCUGUAGGAAAUGCAUACCCUGCAUCUAGUCUUGAGAAAAUACCAGACGAACCCGAGUGGCCUGUGCUCUUCAAAAACAUCAAUAGUACGGAAGACAAACAAAGGUGAGGAAACAUCUCAGAUUAAAGGAUACAGAAGAGAUGUGACAGCUAAAAGCAACACACAGCCUGGAUUGGAUGCUUGAACAGAGGAAAAUAAAUUUGCUAUAAAGAACAUUAUUGGCCCAAGUCAAAGGUCAAACUGUGCACUUGACUCUCAUGUCACCCACCUGACUCUCUUCCCAGUGUACUUUACUUUCUUCCGUUCCUGCUCUAAAACUUUUUAAUAAAUUUUCACUCCUGCUCUAAAAAAACAAAAAUAAGUAAAUGAAAUGUUUAAAAGAACAGUAUUGGAACAUUGGAGAAAUUUAAAUAUGGACUAUAGAUUCUGCAAUAAUAUUUUAUCAAAGAUGAAUUUCCUGAUUUUGAUAUUAAUGCUAAAGUAAAUGUGGCAAAAAUGUCACUGCAAAUCUCAGUGGAGGGUAGUUGGGAUCUCUUAGCAUUAUUUCUGUUACUUUUCUGUAAGUCUGAAAUCAUCGCAAAAUAAAAAGUUAAGCAUUU